rnacentral:misc_RNA from 1 species
UUUUUGGAUGAAACAAAAACAAGUGUUCACACUAUGUUUUCUGCUUUUUUGCAUAUCAGUUAUAAAUAAAUGAAGAGUCGCAUCGAUACUCUUUCAGGUGGAUCCAAGCAUUCUAUCAUACUUCGAACACGUUAUACAAGCCAGUGUGACACAUUUAACUAAGCCACACAUAACCAUUGAUAAUAUAUUUUUGCAUAAUCCACCUGGACUAUCGAUGAGUGAAAGCGUAUCACCUGUCAGCAUUCAUAAAGUUCUCCCUUGGACCAUCCAGGAUUGUUCCAACGUUAGCAUAACUAACUGGAAUGAAAUAAAGGAUGAAAAUUACAGUAAACACAAUGUUCUGGAAAUUUUUUUGAGUAGACAAGCGCAAAAAAAAAAGACACCCACAAGCCCUAGUUCCUGAAGCUAAAUGACAGGGCCAGAGGAGUGUUUUUCUUUUAGCUAUAGAGAGAACCUGCCCAUGAUCAUCUAGGUGUCAAAUCUGUAACCAGUAAAAUUACAGGAAUCAGGUAGCAAUGGGUGUCUUUUUCUUCCCUUUCUUGCUGUCAAGUGUUGUUUCCUUUCCGAGUAUCAUUCUUCUAAGAAUAUCUGCUUGCUUUGUGUUUCCCUCAUCAUUGAGGCUCUUAAUUAACUCUUCACAACUCUUGUGAUCUUUCACUCCUCCAUUUUCCAUCAUCUUGCACAAAAUAGAAUAGGCAUUAAGUGUCUUCCCAGCAGCUAAGAGAGAAUCCAGCACCUUAUCAUAACUUGAAAAGUCUAUGUUACAAUUUCGCUCUAAAAUGAAAUCUAACAGCUUCAGAGCUGCAGUAGUUUUUCCUUUCUCACAUAAAACUGAUAAGAGACCAUCGAGAUCAGGUGAAAGACUGUUGUGCAACAACAAUUCAAUUCUUCCGAAGGCCUCCUCAACAUGGCCCCUCAUGAGGAGGGCUUCCAAGAUGGUAGAAAUCAAAUCCAUGUGUUCUUUCACUCCCUUCUCCAACAUGAUUUUCAUCACUCGACUUGCUGUUUGAACCCUUCCAUCACCCAUCAGGCUCUCCAUCACUGAUCUAUACAACAAUGAGUCCGGGUCAUGUCCAUGUUCAAGCAUAUUGUCCAAAGCAGCUUUAGCAUCAGCAGGCUCCCCUUUCUUCAGAUAGCUCUCAACAAGUGAUUUGUGAGCAAUACUGUCAGAAAGAACCUUUCUUCUGCCCAUAAUCUUCAACAGUUCAAAGGCUGAAUCAGGAACCCCUUCUCUUGAGUGCCCACAGACAAGAUUGUUAAAGGCAAUAGGAUCUUGAAUCCCAGUUUUCAUCAACUGUCUAAAAAGAGUUUCAGCCUUGCCUGUCUGGCCAUUAUUGCAUAGGUAAUCAAUAAUCAGGUUAUAUGCACUUGUUUCCAUAGACGAACUACUCUGCGGUCGCAGGACGAUUUCUUUCUCAAUAAGCUUAUCCAGAAAUUUGACAGCUCGAUCAUAGAUACCAGCCUUGCAGAAAUUCUCGAUUAGUACACCAUAAUGUCCAGCCUCUGUGGGAACACUUAACCUAAUCAUAGUUUUCAGAACAUCAGCUGCAGCAUCUAAAUCACCUGCCUCACACUGUCCAGAGAUUAACCUUAUGAAGAUAGAGUUAUCCUUGGGUGCAAUAUACCUCUCUUCCAUCUCUUUCAAAAUCGUUCCAGCUUCAGACAUUUUCUGAGCAUCACAAAGCCCUGGUAACAAGGUCGAAUAAGUAAUAGCAUUUGGUUUAAUACCAAAACUCUUCAUCUCUUCAAACAAUUUCAAUGCAUCAUCUAUUCGCUCAACCGCACUAUAUCCUUUAAUAAGUGUUGUAUAACUGAUGACAUUCGGCUCUAUAUUUCUUGCUUUCAUUUCCACAAAGUACUUCUCUGCUUCUUCUAUUUUCUUCACGCGGUUAUACCCAUUAAUCAUAGUAUUAUAAGUUACUACAUCGGGCAUAAUCCCCUUACCCUUCAUAUCCUCAAAAAACCUAAUUGCAGUAUCC